CACCAACCCAGUGAUAAAGCUCAUGGUUUAACCUCAAACUUUCUUUCUCUCUACCUUUCUCUUCCUCUAUUUUACUCCAGUUUCUGUAACAAAAAAAUGAGCUCAACCAUCACCCAGCUGACUCUCUGGUGCCAAUCUUUGCUUCAUUUAGAUUCGAUAUGAGGAGUGAAUACUGGAAAAUCAUACAGAGAUCAGUUUCUAAUUCGUUGUUGCUUGUGAUGGUAGUAGAGGAACAGAGCAAGUGAAAGCAGUAAGGAGUGAAGAUUGUGAUCGAUCUUAUAUAUGUUCUUCUCGCUUGUCUCCGAUUCCCUCCCUGGUGACAGUGAGCCUAUCGAUAUGAGGGAACCAUCUCAUUUCAUGUCAAAGAACGACAUCCGAUCCAGUCACCCGGCGAAGAAAACGACAAAGAGUCACCUGAGAAGAGGAUGAGCUUCUUCGAGAUAUAUCUUCUUCAUCAACAAGUCUUGGCCCAAGAACAUAUGCGCUUUGGAACAAGGCCUCUCAGGUUUUCUUUUUUGAAAACCCAUUUUUUCAAUUUUUUUUAUUUUAAAGCUAAGUUCCAAAUAUUUUCACAAAUAUAUAUAUUACCAUACACAAUAUUUUUAAAUUUAAAUUUAAAAUUUUAUUAUUUUCACAAAUAAAAAUGAAAACCAC